GACGAACGCUGGCGGCGUGCUUAACACAUGCAAGUCGAACGAUGAAGAAAAGACUCGAAGCUUCGGCAGAAAUUCAUUUCGGAUUAGUGGCAGACGGGUGAGUAACGCGUGAGCAACCUACCUCUUACAAAGGGAUAGCCUCGGGAAACCGGGAUUAAUACCAUAUCACAUUGCGACGAAGCAUUUCGAUGCAAUCAAAGCUACGGCGGUAAGAGAUGGGCUCGCGUCCCAUUAACCGGAUGGUGAGGUAACGGCUCACCAUAGUGACGAUGGGUAACCGGCCUGAGAGGGUGAACGGUCACACUGGAACUGAGACACGGUCCAGACUCCUACGGGAGGCAGCAGUGGGGAAUAUUGCACAAUGGAGGGAACUCUGAUGCAGCGACGCCGCGUGAGUGAUGAAGGAAUUCGUUUCGUAAAACUCUGUUCUGUGGGAAGAAAAGGACUGUACCAUAGGAGAAAGCGCCGGCUAAAUACGUG
rnacentral:rRNA from 1 species